GACGAACGCUGGCGGCGUGCUUAACACAUGCAAGUCGAACGGUGAAGCGCCUUCCUUUUUGGUGGGUGUGGAUGAGUGGCGAACGGGUGAGUAACACGUGAGUAACCUGCCCCCUUCUUCUGGAUAACCGCAUGAAAGUGUGGCUAAUACGGGAUAUUCUGGGUCUGUCGCAUGAUGGGUCUGGGAAAGAUAUUGUUUCGGUGGGGGAUGGGCUCGCGGCCUAUCAGCUUGUUGGUGGGGUGAUGGCCUACCAAGGCGGUGACGGGUAGCCGGCCUGGGAGGGUGGACGGUCACACUGGGACUGAGACACGGCCCAGACUCCUACGGGAGGCAGCAGUGGGGAAUAUUGCACAAUGGGCGGAAGCCUGAUGCAGCGACGCCGCGUGAGGGAUGGAGGCCUUCGGGUUGUGAACCUCUUUCGCCAGUGAAGCAGGCCUGCCUCGUUUGUGGGUGGGUUGACGGUAGCUGGAGAAGAAGCGCCGGCUAACUACGUG
rnacentral:rRNA from 1 species